GUAACAGGAAGCAGCUUGCUGCUUYGCUGACGAGUGGCGGACGGGUGAGUAAUGUCUGGGAAACUGCCUGAUGGAGGGGGAUAACUACUGGAAACGGUAGCUAAUACCGCAUAACGUCGCAAGACCAAAGAGGGGGACCUUCGGGCCUCUUGCCAUCGGAUGUGCCCAGAUGGGAUUAGCUAGUAGGUGGGGUAACGGCUCACCUAGGCGACGAUCCCUAGCUGGUCUGAGAGGAUGACCAGCCACACUGGAACUGAGACACGGUCCAGACUCCUACGGGAGGCAGCAGUGGGGAAUAUUGCACAAUGGGCGCAAGCCUGAUGCAGCCAUGCCGCGUGUAUGAAGAAGGCCUUCGGGUUGUAAAGUACUUUCAGCGGGGAGGAAGGCGACAGGGUUAAUAACCCUGUCGAUUGACGUUACCC
rnacentral:rRNA from 1 species